rnacentral:ncRNA from 5 species
GAAGUAAAAGUCGUAACAAGGUU